UCUUCUACUGAACAAGGCUGAGGCUGAUGGGGUUUUUGGUCUACACCCGCUGUGCUCGGACCCAAAGCUCACACACUUGCUGUUUGUGGAUGAUCUCUUGGUUUUCUCAAAUGGUACAAGGGCUUCAACGUCAGGAAUCAAGGAAGUCAUGCGUCAAUUUAAGGACUGGUCCGGACUUGAAACGAAUGAGUCGAAAACAGAGAUUCUAUGGAGGGUUCUCUGAUAUUCAAGCUUCUGUUCUAAGUGAUCUUUCGGGUUUCAAGCGUGGGGUCUUUCCAACAAGAUAUUUAGGUUUGCCGCUAAGCCCCAAAAGGAUUUCAGCAGCCACUCUGCAACCGUUUCUUGAUCGUAUUACUGCUAAGCUCCACUCUUGGACGGUUAAGUUCCUUUCCUUCGCUGGUAAAGUUCAGAUGAUCACUUCGGUUAUCUACGGCAUGGUGAACUUCUGGAGCUCUGUCUUUGUGCUCCCAAAAUGGUUUUAUACAAAAGUAGAUUCCCUCUGUUCUGGUUUUCUAUGGAAGAAUAGCACUUCCUCGGCUGUGGGUGCAAGAGUUUCUUGGGCAGAUAUUUGUCAACCAAAAACAGAGGGAGGUUUGGGAAUUAGGAAAUUGGAGGAUUUUGAGAUGGUUUUCAGAUUGAAACGUAUCUGGCUUUUCUUCUCUGCUUCUGGAUCUCUUUGGGUGCCGUGGCUGAAGAGCAACAGAUUUGCGGGUAGGAGUAUUUGGUGUAUUAAUGAGUCGCCAAGGUUCUCAAAGACUGUUCGAAGCAUGCUAGCCUUGAGGCAAGACCUUCAGCUCUAUCUCCGCUGCACUGUCAGGGAUGGACAAACAGCUUUGUUUUGGUAUGAUUACUGGACGGAGCUAGGUCCUUUAUACCUAUUAUUCGGGAGCUCAGGGCCUGCAUCUCUUAGGAUCCCUCUAAAUGCAACUGUGUCGCAAGCUGUUCGUGAUGGACACUGGAACCUACCCCCUGCGCGAUCUGAAUAUGCCGAGACUCUUCAUGUUAUAUUAUCUACCAUGCCUGUCCCAUGUCAAGCAAAUGGUAGCGAUGUGUUCUUGUGGAGAAACAGAUCAGGUGGUUUUGGUACUUCUUUCUCCUCUUCUGUUACGUGGGAGAGGCUACGCAUUCCUAACCCGCUGGUUCAGUGGCACCCGGUGGUUUGGUUCAAAGAAGAGAUCCCCCGCUGUUCCUUCAUUGUUUGGACUGCUGUUCUUAAAAGACUUCCUACUAGGGAUAGGUUGAUUGCUUGGGGCAUAACUCUUCCACCAGGUUGUGUUCUUUGUCCUAAUGCUGUGGAAUCUCAUUCCCAUCUGUUCUUUGAGUGUUCCUAUGCUACUGUCAUUUGGAAUCGAUUUUGUGGCAGGUACUUGGCGGCUCCGCCUACCUCUGUAGCGGCGGUGACUGAUCUAUGCCGACAGCUGCAAGGGCCCCAUGCGUCUCGAGCUGUAGCGGUGCUGAAGCUUUUGAAUCAAGUUAUUAUCUACAACCUUUGGCGCGAACGAAAUGCCCGUAUCUUCAGAGAUGUUUCUAUGACUCAAGAGGCGUUCUUCAAAGUUGUGGAUCGUAGUAUGCGGGAUAGAUUGCUCUCUCUUCCGUCUCGGACUGCAGCCUCUCUUCCGUCUAGGACUGCAGCUUCACCCUCCCUCCUCGAAUUGUACUUCUGCUUCGUUUUCCCUUAUAGUUAAUCCAAUCCAAUCUCUCUAGAAUGCUUCUUGUCAGCCCUCUCUCUCUUUUAUUCUCUCCUUGCUGUUUGUUGUAAUAAGUUGUGUUUUUUUCACAACAUUGUAAAACUCAGAAAAUGGUUAUAAAUUUUAACAUUUAGACCAAAAAAAAGAUAUACGUAUGCUUUUGUUUGAAAGAAAAAGCACAAACAAAAACACAUGCUCUUCGUUGUAGCUUCCUUGGGUUAACACUUUUCUCCUGCUUUAGAAGUCAAAGCUCCAAAAAAAAGAAAAAAGAAACCGAGCAGAAAUGGAGAAUCUACCUCCUGGUUAUCGUCCCAAUGUUGGUGUUUGUCUAAUCAAUUCUGAUAAUCUGGUAACAUUUCAACCAUCUAAUUCAGCUCUCUAGUUGAAAUACUGUUUUACCACUAGUAAAUAGUAGGUACUGAGUUUAUUAGAGCAACUUCAUCACAAGAGUUCUCAAACGAAAAAUUAUGAAUAUUAUAUUAUAAAUUAAUUAUGUAAUUAAACUAUAAUUAGAAAAAAAUAAAAGCAAGCACUUAAUGAUUAAUGAAUGACGAUUGUCAAAAUUGGUUUCCUCCAAAGUUCUUUUUGAGAACUCCAUCUCAUACUCUCUUGCUUUUUCAAUCUUUUUAUCUUUUUAUUGGUAAGGUAAUUUCUAAGAACUCUUAAAUGGAGUUGCUCUUAUGACCAAUGAUUACUG